GGCCUAGUAGCCAAGUGGUAAGGCAGGGGUCUGCAAAACCCCUAUACGUGGGUUCGAUUCCCGCCUAGGCCU
rnacentral:tRNA from 1 species